rnacentral:rRNA from 1 species
AACGAACGCUGGCGGCAGGCUUAACACAUGCAAGUUGAGCGGGAUUUUCAAGUAGCUUGCUAUUUGAGAUGAGAGCAGCGCACUGGUGAGUAACACGUGGGAACAUACCUUUUGGUGGGGGACAACAGUUGGAAACGACUGCUAAUACCGCAUAAGCCCUAAGGGGGAAAGAUUCAUUGCCGAAAGAUUGGCCCGCGGAAGAUUAGGUAGUAGGUGGGGUAACGGCCUACCUAGCCGACGAUCUAUAGCUGGUCUGAGAGGACGAUCAGCCACAUUGGAACUGAGACACGGUCCAGACUCC